rnacentral:rRNA from 1 species
GAUCCUGGCUCAGGAUGAACGCUAGCUACAGGCUUAACACAUGCAAGUCGAGGGGAAACGAUAGAGAAGCUUGCUUUUUUCUAGGCGUCGACCGGCGCACGGGUGAGUAACGCGUAUCCAACCUGCCCAUCACUUGGGGAUAACCUUGCGAAAGUAAGACUAAUACCCAAUGACGUCUCUAGAAGACAUCUGAAGGAGAUUAAAGAUUUAUCGGUGAUGGAUGGGGAUGCGUCUGAUUAGCUUGUUGGCGGGGUAACGGCCCACCAAGGCGACGAUCAGUAGGGGUUCUGAGAGGAAGGCCCCCCACAUUGGAACUGAGACACGGUCCAAACUCCUACGGGAGGCAGCAGUGAGGAAUAUUGGUCAAUGGACGAGAGUCUGAACCAGCCAAGUAGCGUGCAGGAUGACGGCCCUAUGGGUUGUAAACUGCUUUUAUAAGGGAAUAAAGUGAGUCUCGUGAGACUUUUUGCAUGUACCUUAUGAAUAAGGACCGGCUAAUUCCGUGC